rnacentral:rRNA from 1 species
GCUUGCUCUUCUGGAUGAGUUGCGAACGGGUGAGUAACGCGUAGGUAACCUGCCUGGUAGCGGGGGAUAACUAUUGGAAACGAUAGCUAAUACCGCAUAAUAGUAGAUGUUGCAUGACAUUUGCUUAAAAGGUGCAAUUGCAUCACUACCAGAUGGACCUGCGUUGUAUUAGCUAGUUGGUGGGGUAACGGCUCACCAAGGCGACGAUACAUAGCCGACCUGAGAGGGUGAUCGGCCACACUGGGACUGAGACACGGCCCAGACUCCUACGGGAGGCAGCAGUAGGGAAUCUUCGGCAAUGGACGGAAGUCUGACCGAGCAACGCCGCGUGAGUGAAGAAGGUUUUCGGAUCGUAAAGCUCUGUUGUAAGAGAAGAACGAGUGUGAGAGUGGAAAGUUCACACUGUGACGGUAUCCUACCAGAAAGGGACGGCUAACUACGUGCCAGCAGCCGCGGUAAUACGUAGGUCCCGAGCGUUGUCCGGAUUUAUUGGGCGUAAAGCGAGCGCAGGCGGUUAGAUAAGUCUGAAGUUAAAGGCUGUGGCUUAACCAUAGUACGCUUUGGAAACUGUUUAACUUGAGUGCAAGAGGGGAGAGUGGAAUUCCAUGUGUAGCGGUGAAAUGCGUAGAUAUAUGGAGGAACACCGGUGGCGAAAGCGGCUCUCUGGCUUGUAA